rnacentral:rRNA from 1 species
GGGUGCGUAACACGUAUGCAACCUACCUUUAACCGGGACAUAACCUCGAGAAAUUGAAGCUAAUAUCCCAUGUGAUUACCCCUUGGCAUCAAGGGAUAAUUAAAAUUCAGAUGGUUAAAGAUGGGCAUGCGUCCCAUUAGCUAGUUGGUGAGGUAACGGCUCACCAAGGCCACGAUCAGUAGGGGAUCUGAGAGGACUACCCCCCACACGGAUACUGAGACACGGAUCCG